rnacentral:rRNA from 1 species
UACGGAGGAUGCAAGCGUUAUCCGGAAUGAUUGGGCGUAAAGCGUCCGCAGGUGGCUGUGUAAGUCUGCUGUCAAAGAGCAAAGCUCAACUUUGUAAAGGCAGUGGAAACUACACGGCUAGAGUGCGUUCGGGGCAGAGGGAAUUCCUGGUGUAGCGGUGAAAUGCGUAGAGAUCAGGAAGAACACCGGUGGCGAAGGCGCUCUGCUAGGCCGCAACUGACACUGAGGGACGAAAGCGUGGGGAGCAAAAAGG